CUCUUUAUCCUCCUAUCUAUUUGCAUGGCCUGUUCCAAGGCGAUAUCCGGAACUCAAACUGGUUUUCUGAUUGGCAGAGCGGAUUCAGAAGCAUGAUCUUAUUAACUUUUAUAAUGCAGGUGCUUUAACAAAUAUAGAGAGUCAGAGAGGUACUUGGUCUGAAAGCCUCAGAGCUAAAUUACACCACCACCAUCACCUUUCAAGGGACCUCGUCCACCACAUAUGUUGACUUUUCCACCAUCACGUCCCUGAGUCCUCCUGCACCAGGUCCGGUGGCUGAUCCACCGCCCUACAGAUGAUAAUUCCCAUUACUGACGUAUAUGGAUUAUUAUUUUGUACUAUUUCUACAUUGUACUUUGAUUUUGUGUUACAACGUGAUACUCCCUCUGUCCCAUUAUAUGUUGCAAAUCAAUCGUUUGUUCUAUGAGACGAGCGACCCUCUCUUGGUUUCAGUAAUAUUCAUACGGGAUAUAAGUAGUAUUCAUAAUGAGAAAAUAUGACAUUUUCGUUGUU